GUCCACGCCGUAAACGAUGUCUACUAGCCGUUGGGAGCCUUGAGCUCUUAGUGGCGCAGCUAACGCACUAAGUAGACCGCCUGGGGAGUACGGUCGCAAGAUUAAAACUCAAAUGAAUUGACGGGGGCCCCGCACAAGCGGUGGAGCAUGUGGUUUAAUUCGACGCAACGCGAAGAACCUUACCAGGUCUUGACAUCUAGAGAACUUUCCAGAGAUGGAUUGGUGCCUUCGGGAACUCUAAGACAGGUGCUGCAUGGCUGUCGU
rnacentral:rRNA from 1 species